GGUCCUAUAGCUCAGCUGGUUAGAGCAUCGUACUAAUAGUUAAUUUCUUAACUACCUAGUAAUGCGGAGGUCUACGGUUCGAUCCCGUAUGGGACCA